GGUUAAGCGACUAAGCGUACACGGUGGAUGCCCUGGCAGUCAGAGGCGAUGAAGGACGUGCUAAUCUGCGAUAAGCGUCGGUAAGGUGAUAUGAACCGUUAUAACCGGCGAUUUCCGAAUGGGGAAACCCAGUGUGAUUCGUCACACUAUCAUUAACUGAAUCCAUAGGUUAAUGAGGCGAACCGGGGGAACUGAAACAUCUAAGUACCCCGAGGAAAAGAAAUCAACCGAGAUUCCCCCAGUAGCGGCGAGCGAACGGGGAGCAGCCCAGAGCCUGAAUCAGUGUGUGUGUUAGUGGAAGCGUCUGGAAAGGCGCGCGAUACAGGGUGACAGCCCCGUACACAAAAAUGCACAUACUGUGAGCUCGAUGAGUAGGGCGGGACACGUGGUAUCCUGUCUGAAUAUGGGGGGACCAUCCUCCAAGGCUAAAUACUCCUGACUGACCGAUAGUGAACCAGUACCGUGAGGGAAAGGCGAAAAGAACCCCGGCGAGGGGAGUGAAAAAGAACCUGAAACCGUGUACGUACAAGCAGUGGGAGCACAGAGCAAUCUGUGUGACUGCGUACCUUUUGUAUAAUGGGUCAGCGACUUAUAUUCUGUAGCAAGGUUAACCGAAUAGGGGAGCCGAAGGGAAACCGAGUCUUAACUGGGCGUUAAGUUGCAGGGUAUAGACCCGAAACCCGGUGAUCUAGCCAUGGGCAGGUUGAAGGUUGGGUAACACUAACUGGAGGACCGAACCGACUAAUGUUGAAAAAUUAGCGGAUGACUUGUGGCUGGGGGUGAAAGGCCAAUCAAACCGGGAGAUAGCUGGUUCUCCCCGAAAGCUAUUUAGGUAGCGCCUCGUGAAUUCAUCUCCGGGGGUAGAGCACUGUUUCGGCAAGGGGGUCAUCCCGACUUACCAACCCGAUGCAAACUGCGAAUACCGGAGAAUGUUAUCACGGGAGACACACGGCGGGUGCUAACGUCCGUCGUGAAGAGGGAAACAACCCAGACCGCCAGCUAAGGUCCCAAAGUCAUGGUUAAGUGGGAAACGAUGUGGGAAGGCCCAGACAGCCAGGAUGUUGGCUUAGAAGCAGCCAUCAUUUAAAGAAAGCGUAAUAGCUCACUGGUCGAGUCGGCCUGCGCGGAAGAUGUAACGGGGCUAAACCAUGCACCGAAGCUGCGGCAGCGACGCUGAUGCGUUGUUGGGUAGGGGAGCGUUCUGUAAGCCUGCGAAGGUGUGCUGUGAGGCAUGCUGGAGGUAUCAGAAGUGCGAAUGCUGACAUAAGUAACGAUAAAGCGGGUGAAAAGCCCGCUCGCCGGAAGACCAAGGGUUCCUGUCCAACGUUAAUCGGGGCAGGGUGAGUCGACCCCUAAGGCGAGGCCGAAAGGCGUAGUCGAUGGGAAACAGGUUAAUAUUCCUGUACUUGGUGUUACUGCGAAGGGGGGACGGAGAAGGCUAUGUUGGCCGGGCGACGGUUGUCCCGGUUUAAGCGUGUAGGCUGGUUUUCCAGGCAAAUCCGGAAAAUCAAGGCUGAGGCGUGAUGACGAGGCACUACGGUGCUGAAGCAACAAAUGCCCUGCUUCCAGGAAAAGCCUCUAAGCAUCAGGUAACAUCAAAUCGUACCCCAAACCGACACAGGUGGUCAGGUAGAGAAUACCAAGGCGCUUGAGAGAACUCGGGUGAAGGAACUAGGCAAAAUGGUGCCGUAACUUCGGGAGAAGGCACGCUGAUAUGUAGGUGAAGUCCCUCGCGGAUGGAGCUGAAAUCAGUCGAAGAUACCAGCUGGCUGCAACUGUUUAUUAAAAACACAGCACUGUGCAAACACGAAAGUGGACGUAUACGGUGUGACGCCUGCCCGGUGCCGGAAGGUUAAUUGAUGGGGUCAGCGCAAGCGAAGCUCUUGAUCGAAGCCCCGGUAAACGGCGGCCGUAACUAUAACGGUCCUAAGGUAGCGAAAUUCCUUGUCGGGUAAGUUCCGACCUGCACGAAUGGCGUAAUGAUGGCCAGGCUGUCUCCACCCGAGACUCAGUGAAAUUGAACUCGCUGUGAAGAUGCAGUGUACCCGCGGCAAGACGGAAAGACCCCGUGAACCUUUACUAUAGCUUGACACUGAACAUUGAGCCUUGAUGUGUAGGAUAGGUGGGAGGCUUUGAAGUGUGGACGCCAGUCUGCAUGGAGCCGGCCUUGAAAUACCACCCUUUAAUGUUUGAUGUUCUAACGUUGACCCGUGAUCCGGGUUGCGGACAGUGUCUGGUGGGUAGUUUGACUGGGGCGGUCUCCUCCUAAAGAGUAACGGAGGAGCACGAAGGUUGGCUAAUCCUGGUCGGACAUCAGGAGGUUAGUGCAAUGGCAUAAGCCAGCUUGACUGCGAGCGUGACGGCGCGAGCAGGUGCGAAAGCAGGUCAUAGUGAUCCGGUGGUUCUGAAUGGAAGGGCCAUCGCUCAACGGAUAAAAGGUACUCCGGGGAUAACAGGCUGAUACCGCCCAAGAGUUCAUAUCGACGGCGGUGUUUGGCACCUCGAUGUCGGCUCAUCACAUCCUGGGGCUGAAGUAGGUCCCAAGGGUAUGGCUGUUCGCCAUUUAAAGUGGUACGCGAGCUGGGUUUAGAACGUCGUGAGACAGUUCGGUCCCUAUCUGCCGUGGGCGCUGGAGAAUUGAGGGGGGCUGCUCCUAGUACGAGAGGACCGGAGUGGACGCAUCACUGGUGUUCGGGUUGUCAUGCCAAUGGCACUGCCCGGUAGCUAAAUGCGGAAGAGAUAAGUGCUGAAAGCAUCUAAGCACGAAACUUGCCCCGAGAUGAGUUCUCCCUGACUCCUUGAGAGUCCUGAAGGAACGUUGAAGACGACGACGUUGAUAGGCCGGGUGUGUAAGCGCAGCGAUGCGUUGAGCUAACCGGUACUAAUGAACCGUGAGGCUUAACCUUACAACGCCGAAGAUGUUUUG
rnacentral:rRNA from 1 species